rnacentral:rRNA from 1 species
UGGGGAAUCUUAGACAAUGGGCGCAAGCCUGAUCUAGCCAUGCCGCGUGAGUGAUGAAGGCCCUAGGGUCGUAAAGCUCUUUCGCCAGGGAUGAUAAUGACAGUACCUGGUAAAGAAACCCCGGCUAACUCCGUGCCAGCAGCCGCGGUAAUACGGAGGGGGUUAGCGUUGUUCGGAAUUACUGGGCGUAAAGCGCGCGUAGGCGGAUUAGUCAGUCAGAGGUGAAAUCCCAGGGCUCAACCCUGGAACUGCCUUUGAUACUGCUAGUCUAGAGUUCGAGAGAGGUGAGUGGAAUUCCGAGUGUAGAGGUGAAAUUCGUAGAUAUUCGGAGGAACACCAGUGGCGAAGGCGGCUCACUGGCUCGAUACUGACGCUGAGGUGCGAAACGUGGGGAGCAACAGGAUUAGAUACCCUGGUAGUCCACGCCGUAAACGAUCAAUGCCAGUCGUCGGGUUGCAUGCAAUUCGGUGACACACCUAACGGAUUAACGCAUUCCGCCUGGGGAGUACGGUCGCAAGAUUA